UUGGGGUAGAUGAGUCUCUGGUCUACAGUGUAGAGGUACUAGACGAUGAGUGUGGAUAGUUAUUAGAGAAUAACUAGUACUGAAUGUGAUCAUGUGAGAGAUCAUUUAAAUUUUUAUUUGAUCGUCAGUGAUUAUCUCAAUGCUGUAGUUGUGUGAAUGGUCCUUUGACCUGUGAUGGUAUGAUUGCUCGUAAUGUAGAUGCUGGAGUUUGACU
rnacentral:lncRNA from 1 species